rnacentral:rRNA from 1 species
GGGGAACUUGGGAAAGAUUUUUU